AGCAGUAACAUUUUCCUCGACCUGAUCAUUGAAAAGCUUAGCAUCACUUACAUGCCAAAAUAUAAGUUCUGCUCAAAUCGAUAACAAAUCUCUCAAACAUAAAAAUUUUGCUCAAGAUCUAAAGCAGAAUCCUCUUGCAUAAAACAUAAAAGGUUUUUGGCAGUUACCCCCAAUCUGGGUAUCAAUGCCAUUCACAUAAACUUGAACUCCAUUGUCCAAUACCAAAUAGGAAACAUCAGAAUUCGGAUAACAGCCCAUGCAAAAAUAAGCACACACAAUCAGGCAGCUGCUGUUCAUUUCUCUAACGUACAAAUAUUUUAGCAUGUCACACAGCACACAGCCUGGCUUAUAAUAUCUACACGAAUAAAGCUUCUCCAUCUAAAUAAUAAUAAUAAUAAUAA
rnacentral:misc_RNA from 1 species